GCCCUGCCUCCAGCCAGACCCUACCUCCAGUCAGCCCCUGCCCUGCCUCCAGCCAGCAAUUCACCCCUGCCGGGGCCCCUCCGAAAAUGUUGGAAUUAGGCCGGGCCCUUCCUAAAGCCGGCCCUGACUGUAACUGCCAGGCGAACAGGGCAAAGAUGCAGAAAGAGAUCCAGCUUUAAGCCAGUUUUUCCUUACCAGAUAACGGUGUUACGGGGCUUAGUAACCACCAAUGAAGUGUUAACACGGCAUGGUCUUUGUCUGAAAGUGUAUAAAAAGCUUGUGAAACUUGUGUGCAGUAGAGUUUUCUGUAUCUGCUACAGAGCUCUCCUUUCUUCUGCAAA